GUGAAUUUUCUUUUGAAGCCUAUAAUUUUGACUUAUCCGCUUAGGAGUAAACAUACAAAGGUUACUACCACACUUUCUAGCUUCUUUACCGAACUGAAGGUGGUAGUAGCAAAACGAUGAAGAGGCCGGGUUGAUUUUAGGUGUUUGUUGUGAUUGAAUUGUUUCUGUGGGGUUUUUUGGCUCUUGUUUUUGCUUGAAAUACGCUAACUGACUUGACAGUUGGCGUAUGGCUUCCUCGAGAGCGUCGAGACGAGCUUCAA